UGUGUAGGCGGUCGUGUUAGUCUUUUGUUAAAGUUUUUGGGCUCAACCCAAAAAAUGCAGAGGAAACGGCACGACUCGAGGUCGCGAGAGGUACAGGGAACUCAUGGUGUAGGGGUGAAAUCCGUUGAUAUCAUGGGGAACACCAAAUGCGAAGGCACUGUACUGGCGCGCACCUGACGCUGAAACACGAAAGCGUGGGGAUGAACG
rnacentral:rRNA from 1 species